GCGAGGGUUCCCGAGCGGUCAAAGGGGCAGGACUUAAGAUCCUGUGGCUUAGUGCCUUCGGAGGUUCGAAGUGAACUUAAUUCACUUUUCCGCGAACGAAGUUCAGCGUAAAUCCUCUCCCUCGCA
rnacentral:tRNA from 1 species